UACGUAGGUGGCGAGCGUUGUCCGGAUUUACUGGGCGUAAAGGGAGCGUAGGCGGACUUUUAAGUGAGAUGUGAAAUACUCGGGCUCAACUUGAGUGCUGCAUUUCAAACUGGAAGUCUAGAGUGCAGGAGAGGAGAAUGGAAUUCCUGGUGUAGCGGUGAAAUGCGUAGAGAUUAGGAAGAACACCAGUGGCGAAGGCGAUUCUCUGGACUGUAACUGACGCUGAGGCUCGAAAGCGUGGGGAGCAAACAGG
rnacentral:rRNA from 1 species